AUAAAUUUUGGAACUGUGGUGCCUUUUUCUUCAAAUAGAGAAGCACACAGGGUCAUGGCAUACGGAGGGUGGAGAUCCCAAUGUGAGAAUACCUCUUUCGAACCAGAUGACAUUUUGGACCAAGAACUAGUUUUGUGACCUCUUCUGCGUUAGGUGGCUCUGCCACUAUAUAUUGUCACAAUCCACAUGAUCUCCUCACAGAGACAGAUCAUUGAAGCAAUAAGGAGCCAGAAAGCUACGGAAAUCACGUUCUAUGCUAUUCUCAUUGAUUAAGACGAUUCGAUCUUACGCCCCUGCACAUUGUGGAUGGCAUUGUCAGCGAGACAGCGCUCUAUGAUAUCCAUUUUAGAUGAAAGAAGCCUUUUCGCCCCUCUGUGAUAUUUUGUCACGAGGCAACGUGGUGGUGUUGCGCACACCAUGUA